CAAAAAAAAAAAAAAAAAAAAAAAAAAAAAAAAAAAAAAAAAAAAAAAA
rnacentral:ribozyme from 13 species